AGUAGAUUUGCAUGAGGACAUCCCCUUUAUGAGGUUAAGAGAAGCUCUGAUGCCCCAUUCCCAGUUGUGGGUUCAGAAGCAGAGCCUGGGGCAUCUCCACCAUGGCCUGGACUCCUCUCCUGCUCCCCUUCCUUAUUCUCUGCACAGGUUCUAUGGCAGCUUCUGAACUGACUCAGCCACCUGCGGUGUCUGUGGCCUUGGGACAGACGGCCACGAUUACAUGCGAGGGAGACAGCUUCGAAAGCAGUAUUAUUAACUGGUAUCAGCAGAAACCAGGCCAAGCCCCCGUGCUGGUCAUUUAUGAGGAUAGUGAGCAGCCCACAGGGAUUCCUGACAGAUUCUCUGGCUCCAGCUCGGGGGAUGCAGCCACUCUGACCAUCACCGGGGCCCAGGCUGAGGACGAGGCUGACUAUUACUGUCAGUCCUAUGAUAACAGUGGUGAUGCUCACAGUGACACAGGCAGAUGGGGAAGUGAGACACAAACCCCUUUCCCAUCUAUGUCACACUCUCCUCCAGUCCCAGCAGGACUGUGCACAAAGCAAUCGGCAGGUCUGGCCCAGGUCCCCAGAUCUGAGGUCUGGAGUCUGUCCCCUUACUCUUCACCUACCAGGCAGGCUCUGCAAAGUGUGGAUCAGCAAGGGAUUCAUAAACAGUUAUUAGAACAACAUUUCCUCCGUUACUGUGGGUGAAUGAAUGCCUGCGUG